rnacentral:rRNA from 1 species
UACGGAGGGGGCUAGCGUUGUUCGGAAUUACUGGGCGUAAAGCGCACGUAGGCGGCCUUGUAAGUUAGAGGUGAAAGCCCAGGGCUUAACCCUGGAAUUGCCUUUAAGACUGCAUCGCUAGAAUCGUGGAGAGGUGAGUGGAAUUCCGAGUGUGGAGGUGAAAUUCGUAGAUAUUCGGAAGAACACCAGUGGCGAAGGCGACUCACUGGACACGUAUUGACGCUGAGGUGCGAAAGCGUGGGGAGCAAACAGG